rnacentral:rRNA from 1 species
GAUGAACGCUAGCUACAGGCUUAACACAUGCAAGUCGAGGGGCAGCAUGAACAAAGCUUGCUUUGUUUGAUGGCGACCGGCGCACGGGUGCGUAACACGUAUCCAAUCUGCCCGCGGCUCGGGGAUAGCCCAUCGAAAGAUGGAUUAAUACCCGAUGGCGUGGUCACCCCGCAUGGGGUUUCCACUAAAGGUUUUCCGGCCGCUGAUGAGGAUGCGUAUGAUUAGGUAGUAGGCGGGGUAACGGCCAACCUAGCCUUCGAUCAUUAGGGGUGCUGAGAGGAAGGUCCCCCACACUGGAACUGAGACACGGUCCAGACUCCUACGGGAGGCAGCAGUGAGGAAUAUUGGUCAAUGGGCGAGAGCCUGAACCAGCCAAGUAGCGUGAAGGAAGACUGCCCUAUGGGUUGUAAACUUCUUUUGUUCGGGAAUAAAGUGCAGUAUGUAUACUGUUUUGUAUGUACCGUUCGAAUAAGCAUCGGCUAAUUCCGUGCCAGCAGCCGCAGUAAGAC